rnacentral:rRNA from 1 species
UUAAGCGACUAAGCGUACACGGUGGAUGCCCUGGCAGUCAGAGGCGAUGAAGGACGUGCUAAUCUGCGAUAAGCGUCGGUGAGGUGAUAUGAACCGUUAUAACCGGCGAUUUCCGAAUGGGGAAACCCAGUGUGUUUCGACACACUAUCAUUAACUGAAUCCAUAGGUUAAUGAGGCGAACCGGGGGAACUGAAACAUCUAAGUACCCCGAGGAAAAGAAAUCAACCGAGAUUCCCCCAGUAGCGGCGAGCGAACGGGGAGGAGCCCAGAGCCUGAAUCAGUGUGUGUGUUAGUGGAAGCGUCUGGAAAGGCGUGCGAUACAGGGUGACAGCCCCGUACACAAAAAUGCACAUAUUGUGAGCUCGAUGAGUAGGGCGGGACACGUGGUAUCCUGUCUGAAUAUGGGGGGACCAUCCUCCAAGGCUAAAUACUCCUGACUGACCGAUAGUGAACCAGUACCGUGAGGGAAAGGCGAAAAGAACCCCGGCGAGGGGAGUGAAAAAGAACCUGAAACCGUGUACGUACAAGCAGUGGGAGCCUCUUUAUGGGGUGACUGCGUACCUUUUGUAUAAUGGGUCAGCGACUUAUAUUCUGUAGCAAGGUUAACCGAAUAGGGGAGCCGAAGGGAAACCGAGUCUUAACUAGGCGUUAAGUUGCAGGGUAUAGACCCGAAACCCGGUGAUCUAGCCAUGGGCAGGUUGAAGGUUGGGUAACACUAACUGGAGGACCGAACCGACUAAUGUUGAAAAAUUAGCGGAUGACUUGUGGCUGGGGGUGAAAGGCCAAUCAAACCGGGAGAUAGCUGGUUCUCCCCGAAAGCUAUUUAGGUAGCGCCUCGUGAAUUCAUCUCCGGGGGUAGAGCACUGUUUCGGCAAGGGGGUCAUCCCGACUUACCAACCCGAUGCAAACUGCGAAUACCGGAGAAUGUUAUCACGGGAGACACACGGCGGGUGCUAACGUCCGUCGUGAAGAGGGAAACAACCCAGACCGCCAGCUAAGGUCCCAAAGUCAUGGUUAAGUGGGAAACGAUGUGGGAAGGCCCAGACAGCCAGGAUGUUGGCUUAGAAGCAGCCAUCAUUUAAAGAAAGCGUAAUAGCUCACUGGUCGAGUCGGCCUGCGCGGAAGAUGUAACGGGGCUAAACCAUGCACCGAAGCUGCGGCAGCGACACUAUGUGUUGUUGGGUAGGGGAGCGUUCUGUAAGCCUGUGAAGGUGGCCUGUGAGGGUUGCUGGAGGUAUCAGAAGUGCGAAUGCUGACAUAAGUAACGAUAAAGCGGGUGAAAAGCCCGCUCGCCGGAAGACCAAGGGUUCCUGUCCAACGUUAAUCGGGGCAGGGUGAGUCGACCCCUAAGGCGAGGCCGAAAGGCGUAGUCGAUGGGAAACAGGUUAAUAUUCCUGUACUUGGUGUUACUGCGAAGGGGGGACGGAGAAGGCUAUGUUGGCCGGGCGACGGUUGUCCCGGUUUAAGCGUGUAGGCUGGUUUUCCAGGCAAAUCCGGAAAACCAAGGCUGAGGCGUGAUGACGAGGCACUACGGUGCUGAAGCGACAAAUGCCCUGCUUCCAGGAAAAGCCUCUAAGCAUCAGGUAACAUCAAAUCGUACCCCAAACCGACACAGGUGGUCAGGUAGAGAAUACCAAGGCGCUUGAGAGAACUCGGGUGAAGGAACUAGGCAAAAUGGUGCCGUAACUUCGGGAGAAGGCACGCUGAUAUGUAGGUGAAGCGACUUGCUCGUGGAGCUGAAAUCAGUCGAAGAUACCAGCUGGCUGCAACUGUUUAUUAAAAACACAGCACUGUGCAAACACGAAAGUGGACGUAUACGGUGUGACGCCUGCCCGGUGCCGGAAGGUUAAUUGAUGGGGUUAGCGGUAACGCGAAGCUCUUGAUCGAAGCCCCGGUAAACGGCGGCCGUAACUAUAACGGUCCUAAGGUAGCGAAAUUCCUUGUCGGGUAAGUUCCGACCUGCACGAAUGGCGUAAUGAUGGCCAGGCUGUCUCCACCCGAGACUCAGUGAAAUUGAACUCGCUGUGAAGAUGCAGUGUACCCGCGGCAAGACGGAAAGACCCCGUGAACCUUUACUAUAGCUUGACACUGAACAUUGAGCCUUGAUGUGUAGGAUAGGUGGGAGGCUUUGAAGUGUGGACGCCAGUCUGCAUGGAGCCGACCUUGAAAUACCACCCUUUAAUGUUUGAUGUUCUAACGUUGGCCCGUAAUCCGGGUUGCGGACAGUGUCUGGUGGGUAGUUUGACUGGGGCGGUCUCCUCCUAAAGAGUAACGGAGGAGCACGAAGGUUGGCUAAUCCUGGUCGGACAUCAGGAGGUUAGUGCAAUGGCAUAAGCCAGCUUGACUGCGAGCGUGACGGCGCGAGCAGGUGCGAAAGCAGGUCAUAGUGAUCCGGUGGUUCUGAAUGGAAGGGCCAUCGCUCAACGGAUAAAAGGUACUCCGGGGAUAACAGGCUGAUACCGCCCAAGAGUUCAUAUCGACGGCGGUGUUUGGCACCUCGAUGUCGGCUCAUCACAUCCUGGGGCUGAAGUAGGUCCCAAGGGUAUGGCUGUUCGCCAUUUAAAGUGGUACGCGAGCUGGGUUUAGAACGUCGUGAGACAGUUCGGUCCCUAUCUGCCGUGGGCGCUGGAGAACUGAGGGGGGCUGCUCCUAGUACGAGAGGACCGGAGUGGACGCAUCACUGGUGUUCGGGUUGUCAUGCCAAUGGCACUGCCCGGUAGCUAAAUGCGGAAGAGAUAAGUGCUGAAAGCAUCUAAGCACGAAACUUGCCCCGAGAUGAGUUCUCCCUGACUCCUUGAGAGUCCUGAAGGAACGUUGAAGACGACGACGUUGAUAGGCCGGGUGUGUAAGCGCAGCGAUGCGUUGAGCUAACCGGUACUAAUGAACCGUGAGGCUUAACCUU